AAUUAGCAUGAGUAUUAAGGGCCAUGUGACAAAAUUAAGGAAUAGGUCAAAUGGGGAUCACGGAAUCAACCUCCUAACUUUCUCAACCCACGCGCCCUGGCGUCGCACGUAUUUGUUUAUUGCUUUACAGUCGGUCAUUGUUUACAAUUUCAAAAUAUAAAGUUUUCUUUUUUCGUUUCUUGACUCGUUUAAAAAACCUUCCGACUCCGUCUCAUCAAUAAUCCCAACACAGGAAAGAAAAUCAAUAAGAGAUCCUGCAUGAAAAUUGAAGGAUACCCUGAAAAAGGAUUUUCCUUUCUUUUCGGGCCUUCCUGUUUGUUAGUUUUCAGACCCAUAGACUUUUUCAGCUCACAUUAAAUUCUUUCAGAAAGCGUUCAACUUGUAUUACCUCGCUUUCCGUAUACAUAUAUACAGUUAUACAUAUAUAUUAUAUAGAUUAUUGGAAGAGAUAAAAUGCUUGAAAUAAGAGAAGGGUCCUGUCUUCCUAGAGUGUUGGUGGGUGUGAAUGUGGGUCUUGUUUGUGUUGGCAGCAUUAUUGCUAUUCUUGCUUUUUCACAGCUAAUAAGGAUUCAUCUGAGGAAUUCACAACUUGGCUGGACGAGACAAAAAGUCCUUCAUCUAUUGAUUGGCUCUUCAAAUGUUGGUUACUUCCUUUUCUUUGUUUUAACUCUUGUUGCUGCCUGCUACGAUUGGCCUUGCUGGUCAUACUCUUGUGGGUUUAUUGCUAUGGCCAUCCCCAGAAUUCUCCUGUUUUCAGCUUUUCUUCUGCUUCUUUCAUUCUGGAUCGACCUUUGCCAUCAAGCAGAUGAUGAAGAAGAAGAUGAUGAUGAUGAAUAUGGUUUUCUGCAAGCUUUGUUGAAGAGAUCGUUAUUUCAACCCAGUUCAUCAAGUGCAGAUAAUCAGAGAAUAUGUUUUCCUUUUCAAUCAAUUCAUGUCGGAAGCCGUCAAAAGAUUGUGAUUUUGGUUACUGUUCUAAUAUUUCUAGUAAUGAUUACAUUUGCUGUGGUAAUCUGGAUUGGGAUGGGAAAUGAUGCUAUCAAAUCAUCAGUGGUGGCCCAGGUGUAUGUAGCUCUUUUUGCGAUAGCAAAACUAUUACUAGGAGGAGCAUUAGCAUAUUAUGGACUCUUGUUAUGCUUAAAAAUAAGGACAGUUAGAUCUGAGAGAGCUUCUUCUGAAACGUGGAAGAUUGCAGGAUUGGCUGUUGUCUCUGUUUUAUGUUUUACACCAAGUGCAAUCAUAGCCCUUUCUACAACAAUUCCGAUCUUGAUUGCAGGCUGUAUAUCAUUGGCAAGAUUUGCAAAUAAAUGGUGUUUACACUACUGUUUUACUGAUCGUAUAUUACUUUGUAGGAUGGUAAUUAAACCACAGUGCUGUCAAAACUCAUUUGCAUUUUAUGGUCCUAGGUUCUUCAGUACCCUCGGCUUUUGUAUUAUGGGUUAUGAGAGAGUUACCGGCUUUAGCGGUAAAUAUUAGGGAAGAUGAAUCAAGAACGAUAGCUUUCAUCCAUGAUAGUUCAGCAGCAGCAAUACAUCAACCUGGGCACUGGACAACUGGAACAAGUACACAGAGUGAGAUUUUGAGUGUGAGUCCUGUAUAAGUUGGCAUUUACAAACCGAAACUCCAUGCUCUUCCUACAAGAUACAUGCUUGAUCUGAAUUGCUGAACAAGUCUUGACAGAAAAAGAGUUGGAACUGGACAGUUAGUCGAGUUCAAAUAAAGCUGGCCAGUUCAUACUUGAUAGGUAACUCAGAGAACAUCCUUAAGGUUGCCAUCACCGCCUUUUGAUACCUUGACUUGUAAAUAACAGCUAAAUGAGCUAAAAUCUUUCGCUUUGACAUUAUGAUUCUUACUUAUACUGCAUUUGGGUGCCAACUGGUUUAAUGCUGGAGUCAGCUGCAGCCCCCAUAACCAUAAAUGAUGAUAUAUCUUCCACAUUUUACCAAGUUACUGUUUUCACAAUCUGUUUCCUCUGGAAGAAUUCGUUCUACAGUGGGGGAUGCCUGGCAGCUAAUUUGCAGAACUCCCGGGUGACUUAUAAGAGCUUUGGUCUCUUAAAUGUUUUGCUUCAAUAUAUGUUUGUAUAACUGUAAGCACUAGCUUCAGAUUAUUUGUUCUAUAAUUUGGGGAAAAAGAGCUUUACUAUGUACACUAUCAAAUAAAGCAAAGCAGGUAACAUUGAUAUCA